UGCAGAGUGGCCAUAUGGAUUUGAUCCCUAUCCUUCAGAGGUGCUCAGCCUAAGGGAACACGGAUAGUAGAUUAAGCACUGACCAGAUAUGUAGAAGCACUUAGGGACUUUGUUCUACUAUUCUGCACUGAAGGAACUUUCAGAACUUUCCAGUGCUUCAAGUUGGGGUCCGGCUCGAGUUUGUACAUUCCAACUUGUUGUUUGGGCCUUGUUGGACAUAACUGAAGUCUGGAUGGCAGGGUGAAAAUUGGAUAAACAGCCACACUGACUCAGGGGAGAUUUUUUUUUAAUGCAAACAUCUGUUUCUUGAAUUUGGCCAUGGUAAGACCUAAGGGAAGGGGGAAUACCAGUUGAUGAAAUAAGAUCAAGAAGAUACUGCCUCAUUUUUUCUUCUGUUUCAGGGGUAUAAAUCCUGCCUUCUCUCAGCCUUACAGAGGAAGAAAACCCUUUCCAAGUUUCCUGUGAUAUUGGGUUUAUGCCCAAUUCUAGUUUAGGCAUGAAGAAACUGAAGCAUGGAGGAAAAACUAAGCAACUAGCCCAACGUCACACAGGCAAGCCAGCCUUGACAAUGUGCUGUUGGCAACCUAGAACAUAAGCAGAGGAGUAUACAGGACGCGAACUUGAUGGUCUCGGGAA
rnacentral:antisense_RNA from 1 species